GACGAACGCUGGCGGCGUGCCUAAUACAUGCAAGUAGAACGCACAGUUUAUACCGUAGCUUGCUACACCAUAGACUGUGAGUUGCGAACGGGUUAGUAACGCGUAGGUAACCUGCCUGGUAGCGGGGGAUAACUAUUGGUAACGAUAGCUAAUACUGCAUAAUAUUAAUUAUUGCAUGAUAAUUAAUUGAAAGGUGCAAUUGCACCACUACCAGAUGGACCUGCGUUGUAUUAGCUAGUAGGGGAGGUAACGGCCCACCUAGGCGACGAUACAUAGCCGACCUGGGAGGGGACUCGGCCAAGCUGGGACGGGGACACGGCCCAGCACCCUACGGGAGGCAGCAGUAGGGGAUCUUUGGCAAUGGAAGCAAGUCUGACCGAGCAACGCCGCGUGAGUGAAGAAGGUUUUCGGAUCGUAAAGCUCUGUUGUAAGAGAAGAACGGGUGUGAGAGUGGAAAGUUCACACUGUGACGGUAUCUUACCAGAAAGGGACGGCUAACUACGUG
rnacentral:rRNA from 1 species